UCACAGUAUCAUAAGAGUGCCAGACUACGCUACGGGAGGCAGCAGUGGGGAAUAUGCACAAUGGGGAAACCUGAUGCAGCAACGCCGCGUGGAGGAUGACACAUUUCGGUACGUAAACUCCUUUUAUAUAGGAAGAUAAUGACGGUACUAUAUGAAUAAGCGCCGGCUAACUCCGUGCCAGCAGCCGCGGUAAUACGGAGGGCGCAAGCGUUACUCGGAAUCACUGGGCGUAAAGAGCGUGUAGGCGGAUCGAUAAGUCAGGAGUGAAAUCCUAUGGCUCAACCAUAGAACUGCUCUUGAAACUGUCAAUCUAGAGUAUGGGAGAGGUAGAUGGAAUUUCUGGUGUAGGGGUAAAAUCCGUAGAGAUCAGAAGGAAUACCGAUUGCGAAGGCGAUCUACUGGAACAUAACUGACGCUGAGACGCGAAAGCGUGGGGAGCAAACAGGAUUAGAUACCCUGGUAGUCCACGCCCUAAACGAUGUACACUAGUUGUUGCCAUACUAGAUAUGGCAGUAAUGCAGUUAACACAUUAAGUGUACCGCCUGGGGAGUACGGUCGCAAGAUUAAAACUCAAAGGAAUAGACGGGGACCCGCACAAGCGGUGGAGCAUGUGGUUUAAUUCGACGAUACGCGAAGAACCUUACCUGGUCUUGACAUAGUAAGAAUAUUUUAGAGAUAGAAUAGUGCUAGCUUGCUAGAACUUACAUACAGGUGCUGCACGGCUGUCGUCAGCUCGUGUCGUGAGAUGUUGGGUUAAGUCCCGCAACGAGCGCAACCCUCGUCGUUAGUUGCUAACAGUUCGGCUGAGAACUCUAACGAGACUGCCUACGCAAGUAGGAGGAAGGUGAGGACGACGUCAAGUCAUCAUGGCCCUUACGACCAGGGCUACACACGUGCUACAAUGGGGUAUACAAAGAGCAGCAAUACGGUGACGUGGAGCAAAUCUCAAAAAUACCUCCCAGUUCGGAUGUAGUCUGCAAACUCGACUACAUGAAUAGAGUGGCAGAUCAGACUGUGUAG
rnacentral:rRNA from 2 species